GUUCGGAUUGUAGUCUGCAACUCGACUACAUGAGCUGGAAUCGCUAGUAAUCGCGAAUCAGCAUGUCGCGGUGAAUACGUUCCCGGGUCUUGUACACACCGCCCGUCACACCAUGGGAGUCGAUAACGCCCGAAGUCAGUGACCCAACCUGUAAGGAGGGAGCUGCCGAAGGCGGGAUUGAUAACUGGGGUGAAGUCGUAACAAGGUAGC
rnacentral:rRNA from 1 species